rnacentral:rRNA from 1 species
AAUAGAUACCCAGGUAGUCCACGCCGUAAACGAUGAGUGCUAAGUGUUAGAGGGUUUCCGCCCUUUAGUGCUGCAGCUAACGCAUUAAGCACUCCGCCUGGGGAGUACGGCCGCAAGGCUGAAACUCAAAGGAAUUGACGGGGGCCCGCACAAGCGGUGGAGCAUGUGGUUUAAUUCGAAGCAACGCGAAGAACCUUACCAGGUCUUGACAUCCUCUGACAGCCCUAGAGAUAGGGCUUUCCCCUUCGGGGGACAGAGUGACAGGUGGUGCAUGGUUGUCGUCAGCUCGUGUCGUGAGAUGUUGGGUUAAGUCCCGCAACGAGCGCAACCCUUGAUCUUAGUUGCCAGCAUUCAGUUGGGCACUCUAAGGUGACUGCCGGUGACAAACCGGAGGAAGGUGGGGAUGACGUCAAAUCAUCAUGCCCCUUAUGACCUGGGCUACACACGUGCUACAAUGGAUGGUACAAAGGGCUGCAAACCUGCGAAGGUAAGCGAAUCCCAUAAAGCCAUUCUCAGUUCGGAUUGCG